UAGUUGUGACAGCCAGGAAACCGAGAACGGAAUGCCAAUACUGCUUAGGCUUAGAGUUUGAAAGGCAUCUGAUUUCACUGCCAUGUCUUUGAACAGCAGUGCACAGUGCAGUCUUCUUCGUGGCUGAACAGAGCUAAGGUCUUGCUAUGUUGCCUAGACUGGUUUUGAACUCCUGGGCUGAAGCAAUCCUCCCACUUCGGCCUCUCAAAGUGCUGGGAUAUCAGACAUGAGCCACCUGCCAUGCUUGGCCUAUGAGUGUGCCCUGUUGCCAAGGCUGGCCUGUGCUCAAGUGAUCCACCUGCCUUGGCCUCCCAAACUGCUGGGAUCACAGGUGUGAGCCACCAUGCCCAGCCAGCAUAAUAGUACUUCGAAGAUAACGAUUUCCUUUUACAAGGAAUCCUUCAAACUUGAUGAAAAGAAAAAGAUGGAGAGCUAAGCUAUGAGGAUGCAAAGGCAUGAGAAUAAUACAAUGGACUUUGGGGACUCGGAGGGAAAGGGUGGGAGGCGGGUGAGGGAUAAAAGACUACACACUGGGUACAGUGUACACUGCUCAGGUGAUGGGUGCACCAAAAUCUCAGAAACCACCACUGAAGAACUUAUCCAUGUAAUCAAACACAACCUGUUCCCCAAAAACCUGUAGAAAAAAAAUUGUAUACCAUAAAUAUGUAUAAUUUUUGUCAAUAAAAAUUUUUUUAAAGUGA
rnacentral:lncRNA from 1 species